rnacentral:tRNA from 1 species
AUGGUUUGAUAAGUUUAGGACUUAUUUAGGAGUACCCAACCUCCUCCAUAUAUAAUACGACCCGUU